AUGCUGCUCGACACUUUUGGCAACGCCUCGGGUCUUCGAACCAACUUCCUCAAGUGUUCCGCUUCACCCAUCAGAUGCGGCGACAACCACCACGCCACCAUUGGCGCCUCCCUCUCCUGCCCGCUGGCGGAAUUUCCCAUCAAAUACCUAGGGCUACCGCUCUCAACUCGCAAAGUGCCGGCCUCCGCCCUCCUUCCGCUUGUCGACAAGCUUGCCAUGAAGCUCGCCACCUGGAAAGCC
rnacentral:rRNA from 1 species